GACGAAGGGGGCUAGCGUUGUUCGGAAUUACUGGGCGUAAAGGGCGCGUAGGCGGUUUGUUAAGUCAGGCGUGAAAGCCCUGGGCUCAACCUGGGAUGUGCGCUUGAUACUGGCAAGCUUGAGUGCAGGAGAGGAUGGUGGAAUUCCCAGUGUAGAGGUGAAAUUCGUAGAUAUUGGGAAGAACACCGGUGGCGAAGGCGGCCAUCUGGACUGCAACUGAUGCUGAGGUGCGAAAGCGUGGGGAGCAAACAGG
rnacentral:rRNA from 1 species